UGGCUCUGGCAUCGAUGAAGAACGCAGCGAAAUGCGAUAAGUAAUGUGAAUUGCAGAAUUCAGUGAAUCAUCGAAUCUUUGAACGCACAUUGCGCCCUUUGGUAUUCCGAGGGGCAUGCCUAUUCGAGCGUCAUUAUCACCCCUCAAGCCUGGCUUGGUGUUGGGACCUGCCGUGACGGCAGCCCCUAAAAUCAGUGGCAGUGCCGGUAGGCCCUAAGCGCAGUAAAUCUCUCGCUACAGGGCCCUGCUGGACACCCGCCAGAAUCCUAAUUUCAAUGAUUGACCUCGGAUUAGGUAGGGAUACCCGCUGA
rnacentral:misc_RNA from 1 species